rnacentral:miRNA from 1 species
CAGCACUUUGACCACUACACUACACUGGUAUCUACUGUGUGGUGUAGUGGUUAGAGUGCUGGA